rnacentral:rRNA from 1 species
GGGGAAACCCAGUGUGUUCCGACACACUAUCGUUAACUGAAUACAUAGGUUAACGAGGCGAACCGGGGGAACUGAAACAUCUAAGUACCCCGAGGAAAAGAAAUCAACCGAGAUUCCCCCAGUAGCGGCGAGCGAACGGGGAGCAGCCCGGAGUCUGAAUCAGCUUGUGUGUUAGUGGAACGGUCUGGAAAGUCCGACGGUACAGGGUGAUAGUCCCGUACACGAAAAUGCACAUGCUGUGAACUCGAAGAGUAGGGCGGGACACGUGGUAUCCUGUCUGAAUAUGGGGGGACCAUCCUCCAAGGCUAAAUACUCCUGACUGACCGAUAGUGAACCAGUACCGUGAGGGAAAGGCGAAAAGAACCCCGGCGAGGGGAGUGAAAAAGAACCUGAAACCGUGUACGUACAAGCAGUGGGAGCACCUUCGGGUGUGACUGCGUACCUUUUGUAUAAUGGGUCAGCGACUUAUAUUCUGUAGCAAGGUUAACCGUAUAGGGGAGCCGAAGGGAAACCGAGUCUUAACUGGGCGUUAAGUUGCAGGGUAUAGACCCGAAACCCGGUGAUCUAGCCAUGGGCAGGUUGAAGGUUGGGUAACACUAACUGGAGGACCGAACCGACUAAUGUUGAAAAAUUAGCGGAUGACCUGUGGCUGGGGGUGAAAGGCCAAUCAAACCGGGAGAUAGCUGGUUCUCCCCGAAAGCUAU